AGCCCAUCCACUUUAAUGUGGACCAAGCUCAAGUACAUGACAAGCACCCGCUCAUGGACCCACCGAAUACUUCACGUGGACCAGCCCGCACAAUCCCACUCCACCAAGCUCCCACCUUCAUCACCCAGCACAUGGCCUCCAAACAAAAAUUUCUCACGGGCCCACCUUCACCACUCCAGCGCACGGCCGACUCGUCCUCGCUCACUUCACCAAAGGACCGCACACAUGGGGCACGCGUGGGAGCUAGGUCAUGCGCACUCCCCUGCACCUAUUUAAGGGACAUUUAAGUGGCAGAAGAAACAGAAUUUUCUUCAAUUCGGCAAUUCCGCAGAGCUUCGGCGCGGCAGAAGUGCAAAUCUCCAUUCCUUCGGUUUCUUUUCUUUCUUUUUCCUUUUUUAAUUUUCUGUUUUUAAUUCAACUAAUGAGUCGCUGAUUUCUUUUAUCUAGUUGAAUAUUGGUUGAAGUUUUAGUUGAUUAAUGGGUUGUGAGACUUGAUCAAAUAUUGUUUAAUUUUUGGGAAUUCAAUAUUCAUGCAAUUUCAUAUUUAAUUUUUAUAUUAUUUUGUUAUUGAGAUCUACGUUGAUUUUUAAUUACAAAAUAAUUAUUUGUUAGUUUGAAUAAUUUAAGUCCGUAAUUGCUUAGAUUAUUCUUACAUGAGAACACUUGGAAUAAAACCCAAGGAAAUUGUAUGAUCUAGCGUUAUCUCCAUACGUUUGGGUAGCUAGGAUUGGAUCUCUCUAUUUCUUAAUGCAAUUAACAAUUGUUUUGAUGCCUAAGACCCAAGGACGUUCCUUGGUAAUUUGUUAAUUAGUAAUUAAUUAGAGGACGUUCCCUAUUUGGUUUAAUCAUAAGGAGAGAUAAUGGUGGUGAGAAGCGUCUUCCAUCUCCAUAACUAAUCUAUUGAAUCAACCCAAAAGAACAAAGUGUCUGUGAUCAAUCCCAACAACUAAAGUGGAUCCAAUACUUCAACUAGAGCUUUCUCAUUAUUGAUUACUCUUUAUUUAUUUAUUUGCUUUCUGUUAUUAUUCUCAUUAUUAGUUUACUUCAAUCAAUCUCAAACCCCCCCUGUUAUUUUGUUGACAGUUUCGAUCCCAAUUUCCAGUUUAUCUCAUUUGAUCCCGCUUUCAGUUUUUAUCUCAUUUUUAGUUUAUUAUUGUUUCAGUUUAUUUUAUUGGUCCCAAAAAGAGAAAUAGGUGAGUUCUCAAUUCCCUGUGGAUUCGAUCCUUUCACUACUAUCUGCAGUUGUAAAUUGUUGAUAACCAGAAAGGUUAUUUUUGACCGGCUUCGACAACCGCGAG
rnacentral:lncRNA from 1 species